UCGAGGAUCUUUGGCAAUGGGCGCAAGCCUGACCAAGCGACGCCGCGUGAGCGAUGAAGGCCUUCGGGUUGUAAAGCUCUGUCGAGGGGGAGGAAGCCGCAAGGUUGACCUAUCCCUGGAGGAAGGACGGGCUAAGUUCGUGCCAGCAGCCGCGGUAAGACGAACCGUCCAAACGUUAUUCGGAAUCACUGGGCUUAAAGGGCGCGUAGGUGGGUUGGCCAGUCUAUGGUGAAAUCCUCCGGCUUAACCGGAGAACUGCCGUGGAUACUGCCAGUCUCGAGGAGGGUAGGGGCGUCUGGAACUAGCGGUGGAGCGGUGAAAUGCGUUGAUAUCGCUAGGAACUCCGGUGGCGAAGGCGAGACGCUGGACCCUUUCUGACACUGAGGCGCGAAAGCCAGGGGAGCGAACGG
rnacentral:rRNA from 1 species